CAAUGUGGCUCAGGAUGUUGU
rnacentral:miRNA from 12 species